GAGCCAACUUGAAUUUGUUGUUCUACUCUAAAGGACAGAAGGUCCUAGCUACCAGCAAAAGGCACUUGGUUCUACAUGCUUCAAUUGAAGUGGUACGCAUAUCGCUUUAAGGAAAAGCUCUCAUGCAUCAGCCUUCUCUGCACACAUUUUCCAGAGAUAUCCUAAGUACUUGUCAUCUGUUACAUGGGCAUUUCUUCGAAUGUGUGCUUCCGACCUGGCUUCUCUUAUGCUAUAACAAGGAUCUUACAUGAGGAUAGAUGAAAGCUCCCAUCUUAUGGCUUACGCUAACGAACAAGUGUGUUUCUGUGAGGUUGCAUGAUUAAUCAUAGACACACUUUUGUGAGACGAGGCUUUGCUGAGCAAAGAGGGAGAUGAAGUUUGAAUACAAUUGUUUUGUUUUUAGUCGAAUG